UGGUGGGAUAAGCUAAUCAACUAAGCUGUUGGGCUCAUAACCCAAAAAUAGAUAUACUCUUCCCACUAA
rnacentral:tRNA from 1 species